rnacentral:rRNA from 1 species
GAUGAACGCUGGCGGCGUGCUUAACACAUGCAAGUCGAACGAAGCACUUCGAUUUCUUCGGAUUGAGGAGUGACUGAGUGGCGGACGGGUGAGUAACGCGUGGGUAACCUGCCUCAUACAGGGGGAUAACAGUUAGAAAUGGCUGCUAAUACCGCAUAAGCGCACAGUACCGCAUGGUACGGUGUGAAAAACUCCGGUGGUAUGAGAUGGACCCGCGUCUGAUUAGCUAGUUGGUGAGGUAACGGCUCACCAAGGCGACGAUCAGUAGCCGACCUGAGAGGGUGACCGGCCACAUUGGGACUGAGACACGGCCCAAACUCCUACGGGAGGCAGCAGUGGGGAAUAUUGCACAAUGGGCGAAAGCCUGAUGCAGCGACGCCGCGUGAACGAAGAAGUAUUUCGGUAUGUAAAGUUCUAUCAGCAGGGAAGAAAAUGACGGUACCUGACUAAGAAGCACCGGCUAAAUACGUGCCAGCCGCCGCAGUAAUAC